GAUUAGAUACCCUAGUAUGAAAAGUUAAUUAGAUUAGUAUAUACUAGAAAUUUAAGGUUUUUGGCGGUUAUUUAAUAGUUUAGAGGAGCUUGUUUUAUUGAAGUAGCCCAUUAUAUUUUAUUAUUUCAAUGUUUAUUUAUCUCCGUUAUAUAAAUUUUAUUUAAAUAAAGUAAAUUUGGGAUUUCAGGUCAAGAUGUAGCAUGCAAUAAGGUAAAUUAGCUACAGUUUUGUAAAAAGGGAUUUUUUUUUUAAAAAGAUUUAGUAACAUGAAUUUAGUUGUAAUUGUUUUUAGAAUUAAAUUAUGAAUAAGUUUUAAUUAAUGUACAUAUCGCCCGUC
rnacentral:rRNA from 1 species